GACCCCUAACCCUAAUCAGUAGUUCCGACCCGCAAGUUAGGUUCCAACCCGGCCUGAUUUCUUGAGUCUUCGGUGAUCGAUUCCUGCUUGUUUGCAUGCCUGCGACGAUGGCGGCUUCCCUCCGCACGGCGGCGACGAGGAUCCUGCGUCCGGCGGGGCAGGGGCUUCGCCGGCUCGUCCACACCCAGCAGCAAUCUAGAUCCACCCCUUCCUUGGAGGACCGUGCAGCGCAAAUCCAGCAGAAGAAGGAGGAGCUGUAUGAUCUCAUCGCCCGUGCUCAGUCCAAGAAGGUUGGUCUAUUUUCCACGGCUUCCCAGGAAGACAGACAUAUGCUCAGGAUUCUCUGCACACAAAUCAAGCCAAGACCAAAUGACCCUCAAUGACAGCUAUUUGCUCCGAUUUUCCUCUGCUACAGGAGUUGACCCUUGAUGGUACAAUAUCGACCAUAUGUACAUAGAUAUUUGCCCUGUUUUUCCUCUGCUACAUGAGUUACCCUUAAUGGCGCUGGAUAACUACAGCCAAGAAGGUGACCAUGUUGGGUUCGGCUUCAAUUGUUCUUGGUAUUGGUGUGUUCACUCUUCCUGACUUAGCUACUCGUCCUGAAUACAAGCCAAUGAAGUGAAAGAUGAAAGGUAUCUUGUUUGAUGGAGAAGCAAGAUGAUGUAUAUCAGUUCUAUUCCUGCACUAUUAUCUGUGACUCUUAAAAUACAUGACUAUGAUCUGUCACCUAUGACUUGAGUAUUAUUAUAUCUGGAUGAUUUGUGAUCGCAUUGUAAGAUAAUUUGUGAUGUUGCUGACAUGGUAUCUUGUCCUUUCUGCUUGAGUAAUUUGUAUGAAAAUGAGCAUCAUGCAUUGUUGUUGGCGAGAGCAGUGGCAGAGACCCCAUUGGGUGCU